GCCAUUGGCCAUCAGCAGCAUCAAAGCCAAGGCCAUCUUCCCCCACAGGUGUUCAAUCCCAGGCAGCAGCCCUCAGAGGUACCUGAAAAUCAGUGGGAUGGAGUUCAGAGUUUUCCAGGGAUCCAGCUGGAAGUGCAGAAGUGAUGGAAAGCUUUCCCAGGUGCCCUGGUGCCACCGUGUUGGUCCCUUGGCCUUUCUCCAGCCCGAGGCUGCUCCUCUGCUCGCUCUCUGCAGUCUCAUCCCACAGGGAUCCUCUUCUCCCUUCCCUGCUGGCUGCUGCCAAGGAAGGAGGCCACAGGGAGUCUCCAGUGCUGCCCCCUCAGCCCUGGAGAGUCCUGGCUGUGGGCCCGAGGGGCCUGGGAUUUCCCAGGGAAAUUGUCUGCUGGUCUCCCUUCCAUGACCUCAGCAAUUCCCUCCAAAAUGCCACCUCACUGCCCCUGACAUCCCCUCACAUUCCACUGCCCUACACAAACAGUUCUUGGAUCCCCUCUAGAUCACACCAGGUUUUCAGCCACAUGAAUGGCAUCACCUGUGCCCACUGCUCGUUAUUCACCCAACCAAAAUCAAGAGCAAAUGUUGGUUGGGCUUUAAUAACAACUUGAAAUAACUUUACAGCAAAAUAAAUCACCUUUUUCUUCU